rnacentral:rRNA from 1 species
UACGAAGGGGGCUAGCGUUGCUCGGAAUUACUGGGCGUAAAGCGCGCGUAGGCGGCUUUGUAAGUUAGAGGUGAAAGCCUGGAGCUCAACUUCAGAAUUGCCUUUAAGACUGCAUCGCUUGAAUCCGGGAGAGGUGAGUGGAAUUCCGAGUGUAGAGGUGAAAUUCGUAGAUAUUCGGAAGAACACCAGUGGCGAAGGCGGCUCACUGGACCGGCAUUGACGCUGAGGUGCGAAAGCGUGGGGAGCAAACAGG